CCCUCUCACAUGCACAGAUACAAAUAUACACAUACACAUACAUGCACACACACACCUCCCAGCAUAUAUCCCAAUCCUCAAACAGGCUAAUAUGCCCAAAGCCCUGAAGCAACUGGAGAAACAACCCCAUCUCCUCUGGGUGUGCCCCAGGGGUUGGAAUGGGAUUUCUCAGAAGGCAAGGCCCUUGGGAGAAAAACAUCCAGGCAAUGCACACUGUGGCCCAGAUGCUCACAGGGGAUGACUUUCCAUCCACAACCCCAGCCCGGUUGCCAUGGCACCUCUCAUCCAACCACCAGAUUCUCAGUGGACCAGCCUGCAAAUAUGAAGCACCAAGUAUUUGCCUGGCACUUUGCCCUGUCAUCCUCUCUACGGUCCCUGCAAUCACCUGCGAUACAGUAAGCGUUUAAGAAACAACAGCUAGUAUUACGGAGGGGCUUGCCCAGGGUCCCAUGGAGAAGCAAAGCAAGAGAGCAAGCAGCCCAACACCCUUGCUUUAAAGGUUCCAUGAGGACAGUCCCUGUGUCAGUUACGGUGACAACGACGGCAUCCUAUGGACCAUCUUGGCUUGUGCUCAGGAGUUAUUUUUUGACUUAAUGAAUGAAUAAAAGCCACACCCUCUUCCCUAA